rnacentral:rRNA from 1 species
UACGUAGGGUGCAAGCGUUGUCCGGAAUUAUUGGGCGUAAAGAGCUCGUAGGCGGUUUGUCGCGUCUGCUGUGAAAACGCGAGGCUCAACCUCGCGCCUGCAGUGGGUACGGGCAGACUUGAGUGCGGUAGGGGAGAUUGGAAUUCCUGGUGUAGCGGUGGAAUGCGCAGAUAUCAGGAGGAACACCGAUGGCGAAGGCAGAUCUCUGGGCCGUUACUGACGCUGAGGAGCGAAAGCGUGGGGAGCGAACAGGAUUAGAUACCCUGGUAGUCCACGCCGUAAACGUUGGGAACUAGAUGUGGGGUCCAUUCCACGGAUUCCGUGUCGCAGCUAACGCAUUAAGUUCCCCGCCUGGGGAGUACGGCCGCAAGGCUAAA